rnacentral:rRNA from 1 species
AUUGAACGCUGGCGGCAGGCCUAACACAUGCAAGUCGAGCGGAGCGGCGGACGGGUGAGUAAUGCCUAGGUAUCUGCCUGGUCGUGGGGGAUAACGUCCGGUAAUGGGCGCUAAUACCGCAUCCUAUCAGAUGCGCCUAGGUCGGAUUAGCUAGUUGGUGGGGUAAAGGCUUACAAAGGCGACGACCCGUAACUGGUCUGAGAGGAUGAUCAGUCACACUGGAACUGAGACACGGUCCAGACUCCUACGGGAGGCAGCAGUGGGGAAUAUUGGACAAUGGGCGAAAGCCUGAUGCAGCCAUGCCGCGUGUGUGAAGAAGGUCUUCGGAUUGUAAAGCACUUUAAGUUGGGAGGCGUUACCAACAGAAUAAGCACCGGCUAACUUCGUGCCAGCAGCCGCGGUAAUAC